UGGCUAAGCGACGUUUUAUUUGCUGACAGAGAACACUUUUUAGUUUCAACAUGUUUUCUGACUUGGUUUUUGUUGAUAUUGGUUUAUGUUGAUGGGAAACGGAUAGGUAAUUUUAAAACCUGUUUUUUCAUCGUGGGAGAUUAUCAGUGACCGGUUGGGUGAUUUUGUGUUUUAGCUUCUUAUCUGUGAUAUUCAAAUAGCUGGGAAUGACUCAAGUUGGCCUCUAGAGCAGUGAGGUCUGAGACAAAAAGAACCAUGAAAAAAUGUAUCAAGCAAGGCUAUGUAAAUUACUGCCCGCCAGCGGACGGAGGCCAACCGACGGACGCCGGCUCAAAGGCCAACAGUGGCCCGCCCGCCGGCCGACACCGGCCCGCCGGCUGACGGUGGCUCGUCGACCGACACCGGCCCGUCGGCCGACUACGGCCCUCCGGCUGAUGGUGGCCCGCCAGCCGACGGAGGUCCGCCGGCCAUUCGUGGCACGCCCGCCGACGGCAGCUCGACUACACGUCCUGGCUAUGUCACCCCCAAGAUUACUUCGCCCCCCCCCCCCCCCCAAGUCCCUAGGUCACCAUUUGCGGGCGCUUCAUCUGACGGUGUCGUCCGACGGCUCCACGGUGACCAGCGCCGCCACUGCGGAAACCAUCGGACCCCGAAAAUGCUGCUAGCCGUACACGAACAAAGGCGCCAGGCACCCAGGACCAGCGCCCUGCUCCGAGGCGGUAUCUAAAGAAGGCCGCAUAGUGCACUUGCUGUGCUAAGGCAUAGUGCGCGCUGACUGAUAGGAACAAAUGACGGUCAGUUAUCAGAUCUCAGUAUGGAACUCAAGAUGGUCGGAGCCGACCUGGCCCGGUGGAUGGUGUGCCAGGGUUGAUUAAGUGUCGAAAGGAGUGAGACGCCCAGAUAUGUGAAGGAUACGUCGAUACGAGCCCCGGCUUCGACUCCCCGUCCCAAAACGAUGUUGGCGGUGAUUGGAGUUUGGUAUCUUUACGGAUUUCCCCCCUCCCCACCCCUGAAUUUGUGCUAUGUAAUAGGACGAUAAUAUGUCGUGGUCUCAUUCUGGCUCGAUAUGGUAAUAGGUACUUAAUUGGACAGAUGUUGAUGGUAUUGGUGGUGGAUGUAAAUGACAGGUUUGGCGAGCGCGAACUAGUAAUCGUGAGUGCACUAGCUGCAAUCAGUCGCGCGCUUAUUGCUGAGCACCUGUGAGCAAGAAAAUGGUAUGAAAGUGGUAGUUCGUCGUGAAAUCUGUGUACUUUUGGAUUAAGUUUUCAGAACGGAAGUGUAUUUUUGCCGUGUCCACUGCAGCUCUGGAACAGAAACAUAGAGAUCGGCUGUGUGCUGUAGCAGGGGCAAGUAGUCCGUGCCAAAAAAUUAAAGGUGAUAUGUGAAUUUAAGUGAAUAUACCUCGCUUUAUUUUCAAUUUUAUUAUAACAGAACAAAUGCGUCGACUGCUGAUUACCCUCGGCUCCUAACAAUAACGUUUGCAAUACUGGAAAGUACAUAGACAAUAGAUACCCUUGCGACCGACUGGCGCGAUCCGAGAAUCUCUCUCACUGUUUUUGCUGACCUACACACGAAAACACGGCCGAAUAGCUAUGAGCGAGAGCACGGAACGAUGCUGGUGACUGACGGACCAGCGAAAACAGAGCUCCCGUCUACGCGCGGAACAGCGCUGAUUGGCGCGGCUCACAGACUCCAUUGGCUCAUCAGAGUUCAGACUGUUAACGGUUGUUGCUCCUCCCUCCCCUCCCCGAGAGGGCGUAGC